GCCUCUAUAGCUCAGCGGUUAGAGCAUCUGAUUCUUAAUCAGAGGGUCCUCGGUUCGAAUCCGAGUGGGGGCAC
rnacentral:tRNA from 1 species